CAAAUUAAAGCUUUAUAGGGAAGCGUUUUAUUUACACUAAAGAGAUUAUUUUAUAGAUGUAGUUUGA
rnacentral:tRNA from 1 species